rnacentral:rRNA from 1 species
AAAUUGAAGAGUUUGAUCAUGGCUCAGAUUGAACGCUGGCGGCAGGCCUAACACAUGCAAGUCGAGCGGUAGCACAGAGAGCUUGCUCUCGGGUGACGAGCGGCGGACGGGUGAGUAAUGUCUGGGAAACUGCCUGAUGGAGGGGGAUAACUACUGGAAACGGUAGCUAAUACCGCAUAACGUCGCAAGACCAAAGUGGGGGACCUUCGGGCCUCAUGCCAUCAGAUGUGCCCAGAUGGGAUUAGCUAGUAGGUGGGGUAACGGCUCACCUAGGCGACGAUCCCUAGCUGGUCUGAGAGGAUGACCAGCCACACUGGAACUGAGAGACGGUCCAGACUCCUACGGGAGGCAGCAGUGGGGAAUAUUGCACAAUGGGCGCAAGCCUGAUGCAGCCAUGCCGCGUGUGUGAAGAAGGCCUUCGGGUUGUAAAGCACUUUCAGCGGGGAGGAAGGCGAUAAGGUUAAUAACCUUGUCGAUUGACGUUACCCGCAGAAGAAGCACCGGCUAACUCCGUGCCAGCAGCCGCGGUAAUACGGAGGGUGCAAGCGUUAAUCGGAAUUACUGGGCGUAAAGCGCACGCAGGCGGUCUGUCAAGUCGGAUGUGAAAUCCCCGGGCUCAACCUGGGAACUGCAUUCGAAACUGGCAGGCUAGAGUCUUGUAGAGGGGGGUAGAAUUCCAGGUGUAGCGGUGAAAUGCGUAGAGAUCUGGAGGAAUACCGGUGGCGAAGGCGGCCCCCUGGACAAAGACUGACGCUCAGGUGCGAAAGCGUGGGGAGCAAACAGGAUUAGAUACCCUGGUAGUCCACGCCGUAAACGAUGUCGAUUUGGAGGUUGUGCCCUUGAGGCGUGGCUUCCGGAGCUAACGCGUUAAAUCGACCGCCUGGGGAGUACGGCCGCAAGGUUAAAACUCAAAUGAAUUGACGGGGGCCCGCACAAGCGGUGGAGCAUGUGGUUUAAUUCGAUGCAACGCGAAGAACCUUACCUGGUCUUGACAUCCACAGAACUUUCCAGAGAUGGAUUGGUGCCUUCGGGAACUGUGAGACAGGUGCUGCAUGGCUGUCGUCAGCUCGUGUUGUGAAAUGUUGGGUUAAGUCCCGCAACGAGCGCAACCCUUAUCCUUUGUUGCCAGCGGUCCGGCCGGGAACUCAAAGGAGACUGCCAGUGAUAAACUGGAGGAAGGUGGGGAUGACGUCAAGUCAUCAUGGCCCUUACGACCAGGGCUACACACGUGCUACAAUGGCAUAUACAAAGAGAAGCGACCUCGCGAGAGCAAGCGGACCUCAUAAAGUAUGUCGUAGUCCGGAUUGGAGUCUGCAACUCGACUCCAUGAAGUCGGAAUCGCUAGUAAUCGUAGAUCAGAAUGCUACGGUGAAUACGUUCCCGGGCCUUGUACACACCGCCCGUCACACCAUGGGAGUGGGUUGCAAAAGAAGUAGGUAGCUUAACCUUCGGGAGGGCGCUUACCACUUUGUGAUUCAUGACUGGGGUGAAGUCGUAACAAGGUAACCGUAGGGGAACCUGCGGUUGGAUCACCUCCUUACCUUAAAGAA